GUGGGCAGAGUGGCAGGAGGCUGUACAAUGCGAGUGCCGGUGAUGGUGUUUUUCCGCGAUAUUUAUGUGUUGUAAUAGAGCACAUUUCCUUGAUUCGUGACGUUUGUGUACUAUAGUGUGCGUUGAGGAGACUCGUGAAUCAGCUUGGAUUGUACGGCGGAGAGGUGGUGUUGACGUGAUGGUUGUGAAGCGAUGGUGAUGGCAGGCUGCUCUUCAUGAGGGCAGCAGGCGCUGCGUCACCCUGGUCACAGCUGUGGGAAGGAAGCCUUGAGGAACAAUAACUACGGAUGCUGUGUGAGGGGGCGGCACGGCUCCUCCGUCCCCCCGCUGGCUUCCCUCAUCGCUCCCUGGAUGGAGUCUCGCUACAACAAAAGGCAAGUGCGUAUACAUUUACAUGGCAGGAUUAUGAUUGAUGACUCGUGCGGCG